AAUAUUCUUACCAUUGCACUCAUAAACAUUCAUUAUUUGUUUUAUAUAAUACCAAAAUAGACUAAUAGAUUCGUAUGAGAAGCAUUUUGAGGGAUGCGAUUUAUCGAAAACACAAAGAGUGCAUUUGUACUAUACGUUUUAUUCCAUUGCACUCGCGGAGAGUGCAAUGGAACGUGUUCCAUUGCACUCUUGGGAAAUCGAAUUUUCUAUUCAAUAUCACGUGACCAUAAACAGCCAAUUAAACGAUUAGAAUUCAAUAAGGUAUUAUAUAAACAGUUUUAUGUAAGUUGCAAAAAUUAUUUCAACUUUCAGUUUAUAAUUAUAUAAAUUAUCAUAAAUUAGCUUAUUCGUUCCUGCACUUCCGGCGAUUUGGAAGUUGGAACCGAAUUUGAGAUCGCAGAACCGAAUUUGAGAUUGCACAACCGAAUUUGAGAUUGCAGAACCGAAUUUGAGAAUAGGCCGUGAAUUCU